CGUUGAAUUGAAGCCCGAGUAAACGGCGGCCGUAACUAUAACGGUCCUAAGGUAGCGAAAUUCCUUGUCGGUUAAAUACCGACCUGCAUGAAUGGCGUAACGAGAUGGGAGCUGUCUCAACCAGAGAUUCAGUGAAAUUGUAGUGGAGGUGAAAAUUCCUCCUACCCGCGGCAAGACGGAAAGACCCCGUGGACCUUUACUACAAC
rnacentral:rRNA from 1 species